rnacentral:rRNA from 1 species
GUCUUGAAUACAGAACUUUCCAGAGAUGGAUUGGUGCCUUCGGGAACUGUGAGACAGGUGCUGCAUGGCUGUCGUCAGCUCGUGUUGUGAAAUGUUGGGUUAAGUCCCGCAACGAGCGCAACCCUUAUCCUUUGUUGCCAGCGGUCCGGCCGGGAACUCAAAGGAGACUGCCAGUGAUAAACUGGAGGAAGGUGGGGAUGACGUCAAGUCAUCAUGGCCCUUACGACCAGGGCUACCUUUUCUACAAUGGCAUAUACAAAGAGAAGCGACCUCGCGAGAGCAAGCGGACCUCAUAAAGUAUGUCGUAGUCCGGAUUGGAGUCUGCAACUCGACUCCAUGAAAGUCGGAAUCGCUAGUAAUCGUAGAUCAGAAUGCUACGGUGAAUACGUUCCCGGGCCUUGUACACACCGCCC